rnacentral:rRNA from 1 species
UACGAAGGGGGCGAGCGUUGUUCGGAUUUACUGGGCGUAAAGGGCGCGCAGGCGGUUCUGUUUGUCGAGUGUGAAAGCCCCGGGCUCAACCUGGGAACUGCGCUCGAAACGGCGGAACUAGAGUUCGGGAGAGGAGAGUGGAAUUCCCAGUGUAGAGGUGAAAUUCGUAGAUAUCGAAAAAAACACCUAUGGCGAAAGCGGCUCACUGGACCACAACUGACGCUGAGGCGCGAAAGCUAGGGGAGCAAACAGG